AGUGAACGCUGGCGGUAGGCCUAACACAUGCAAGUCGAACGGCAGCACAGUAAGAGCUUGCUCUUACGGGUGGCGAGUGGCGGACGGGUGAGGAAUACAUCGGAAUCUACUUUUUCGUGGGGGAUAACGUAGGGAAACUUACGCUAAUACCUCAUACGACCUACGGGUGAAAGCAGGGGAUCUUCGGACCUUGCGCGAUUGAAUGAGCCGAUGUCGGAUUAGCUAGUUGGCGGGGUAAAGGCCCACCAAGGCGACGAUCCGUAGCUGGUCUGAGAGGAUGAUCAGCCAAACUGGAACUGAGACACGGUCCAGACUCCUACGGGAGGCAGCAGUGGGGAAUAUUGGACAAUGGGCGCAAGCCUGAUCCAGCCAUACCGCGUGGGUGAAGAAGGCCUUCGGGUUGUAAAGCCCUUUUGUUGGGAAAGAAAAGCAGCAGGUUAAUACCCCGCUGUUCUGACGGUACCCAAAGAAUAAGCACCGGCUAACUUCGUG
rnacentral:rRNA from 1 species